AUGGCCCCGACCAUGAUCUGUGUGGAUCUACUGCCGCUGCGACCAACCCAAGUACUAUUUGUCCUGCUCCUCUCCUCCUUUCCGUCACCGGCCAUUCAUCCGGUUGCCGUGCACCUCCCUCCUGCCGGUUGCCGCCUCCAGCCCGACGUCCCUGCCCCCGGCGCCUCCACGCCCAGACCCCCUUCCUCUGUUCCUCAAAAAUCUGUCAAUAGGAAAGCCUCAAAAACCCAUCAGUUGGAAAGCCGUUCAACGUCCGUGGCUGAGAACGUCCAUGAGCUCCUCUGUUAUCAGUUCCUUCGGUCGACAGUGGGUUGUGGCUCCUUGCUGGGUGCAGCCCGCGAAGGGGCUAUGCAGCAGGUGCACGCAGCAAUAAGGGAGAAG
rnacentral:rRNA from 1 species